GAUGUGUUCUUGGAUUCGGUUUGCAAGAACUUUAUUGAGGAUUUUUGCAUCGAUAUUCAUAAGGGAAAUUGGUCUGAAGUUCUCUAUCUUUGUUGGGUUCUUCUGUGGUUUAGGUAUCAGAGUAAUUGUGACUUCAUAGAAUGAGUUGGGUAGAGUACCUUCUGCUUCUAUUUUGUGGAAUAGUUUGUGAAGAACUGGGAGUAGAUCUUCUUUGAAGGUCUGAUAGAACUCUGCACUAAACCCAUCUGGCCUGGGCUGUUUUUGGCUGGGAGAUUAUUAAUGACUACUUCUAUUUCUUUAAGGGAUAUAGGACUGUUUAGACCAUUAAUCUGAUCUUGAUUUAACUUUGGUACCUGGUAUCUAUCUAGAAACUUGUCCAUUUUAUCCAGGUUCUCCAGUUUUCUUGAGUAUAGCCUUUUGUAGAAGGAUCUGAUGGUGUUUUGGAUUUCUUCAGGACGUGUUGCUAUGUCUCCCUUUUCAUUUCUGAUUUUGUUUAUUAGGAUGCUUUCCCUGUGCCCUCUAGUGAGUCUGGCUAAGAGUUUAUCUAUCUUGUUGAUUUUCUCAAAGAACUAGCUCCUCCUUUGGUUGAUUCUUUGAAUAGUUCUUCUUGUUUCCACUUGGUUGAUUUUGCUCCUGAGUUUGAUUAUUUCCUGCCAUCUACUCCUCUUGGGUGAAUUUGCAUCAUUUUGUUCUAGAGCUUUUAGGUGUGUUGCCAAGCUGCUAAUCUGUGCUCUCUCUAGUUUCUUUUUGGAGGCACUCAGAGCUAUGAAUUUUCCUCUUAGAAAUGCUUUAUUGUGUCCCAUAAGUUUGGUUAUGUUGUGGCUUCAUUAAACUCUAAAAAGUCUUUAAUUUCUUUCUUUAUUCCUUCUUUGACCAAGGUAUAAUUGAGAAGAGUGUUGUUCAGUUUCCAUGUGAAUAUUGGCUUUCCAUUAUUCAUUUUGUUUUUGAAGAUCAGCCUUAGUCCAUGGUGAUCUGAUAGAAUGCAUGGAACAAUUUCAAUAUUUUUGUAUCUGUUGAGGCUUGUUUUGUGACCAAUUAUGUGGUCAGUUUUGGAGAAGGUAUCAUGAGGUGCUGAGAAGAAGGUAUAUCCUUUUGUUUUAGGAUAAAAUGUUCUGUAGAUACUGUUAGAUCCAUUUGUUCAUAACUUCUGUUAGUUUCACUGUGUCUCUGUUUAGUUUCUGUUUCCAUGAUCUGUCCAUUGGUGAAAGUGGUUUGUUGAAGUCUCCCACAUUAUUGUGUGAGUUGCAAUGUGUGCUUUGAGCUUUACUAAAGUUUCUUUAAUGAAUGUGGCUGCCCUUGUAUUUGGAGCAUAUAUAUUCAGAAUUGAGAGUUGCUCUUGGAAGAUUUUGAUGAGUAUGAAGUGCCUCUCCUUGUCUUUUUUGAUGACUUUGGGUUGGAAGUCUAUUUUAUUAGAUAUUAGAAUGGCUACUCCAGCUUGUUUCUUCAGACCAUUUGCUUGGAAAAUUGUUUUCCAGCCUUUGAUUCUGAGGUAGUGUCUAUCUUUUUCCCUGAGAUGGGUUUCCUGUAAGCAGCAAAAUGUUGGGUCCUGUUUGUGUAGCCAGUCUGUUAGUAUAUGUCUUUUUAAUUGGGGAGUUGAGUCCAUUGAUAUUAAGAGAUAUUAAGGAAAAUUAAUUGUUGCUUCCUUCUAUUUUUAUUGUUAGAGUUGACAUUCUGUUCUUGUGGCUGUCUUCUUUUAGGUUUGUUGAAGGAUUACUUUCUUGCUUUUUCUAGGGCUUGGUUUCCGUCCUUGUAUUGGUUUUUUCUGUCAUUAUCCUUUGAAGGGCUGGAUUUGUGGAAAGAUAAUGUGUGAAUUUGGUUUUGUUGUGGAAUACUUUGGUUUCUCCAUCUAAUGUAAUUGAAAGUUUGGCUGGGUAUAGUAGCCUGGGCUGGCAUUUGUGUUCUCUUAUUGUCUGUAUAACAUCUGUUCAGGAUCUUCUGGCUUUCAUAGUCUCUGGUGAAAAAUCUGGUGUAAUUCUGAUAGGCUUGCCUUUAUAUGUUACUUGACCCUUUUCCCUUACUGCUUUUAAUAUCCUAUUUUUAUUUAGUGCAUUUGUUGUUCUGAUUAUUAUGUGUCAGGAGGAAUUUCUUUUCUGGUCCAGUCUAUUUGGAGUUCUAUAGGCUUCUUGUAUGUUCAUGGGCAUCUCUUUCUUUAGGUUUGGGAAGUUUUCUUCUAUAAUUUUGUUGAAGAUAUUUGCCAGUCUUUUGAGUUGAAAAUCUUCAUUCUCAUCUACUCCUAUUAUCCAUAGGUUUGGUCUUCUCAUUGUGUCCUGGAUUUCCUGGAUGUUUUGAGUUAGUAUCUUUUUGCAUUUUGCAUUUGAUUGUUGUGCCAAUGUUCUCUACGGAAUCUUCUGUAACUGAGAUUCUCUCUUCCAUCUCUUGUAUUGUCUUGCUGAUGCUUGCAUCUAUGGUUCCAGAUUUCUUUCCUAGGUUUUUUAUCUCCAGCUUUACCUCACUUUGGCUUUUCUUUAUUGUGUCUACUUCCCUUUUUAGGUAUAGUAUGGUUUUGUUCUUUUCCAUCACCUGUUUGGAUGUGUUUUCCUUUUAAGGGAUCUACUGCUCGGAAAUGGGCAAUUUAAAGUCUCUAAAGGGAUAUCAGUUCUACAAGAGGCAUGCCCCCCAAAGGGGCAGAAGAUUCAACUCUCAGAACCUAAGGUUUUCCCUAAAGAGCAAAAAACCAGUAUGCUGGCUAGUUUAAUGUCUACUUGAUACAAGCUAGAGUUAUCUAAGAAGAGGGAACCACAUGGAGAAAAUGUAUCAAUAGGAUUAGGCUCUAAGCAAGCUCAUGAGCAUUUCCUUAGUUAGUGGCUGUGGGAGAGCUCACCCCAUCAUGGGUGGUGCCACCCUUGGGCAGGUGUUCCUGGAGUGUAUAAAGAAACAGGCUGAGCAAGCCAGGAGGAGCAAGCCAGUGAGCAGCAUGCCUCCAUGCUCCCUGCUUCACUUCCUGCCUCCAGGUUUCUGCCUUGAGUUCCUUUGACAAUAGAACCCUGACAUGAAACUGUAAGCUGAAAUAAAUCCUUCCUCUCCC
rnacentral:lncRNA from 1 species